UACGUAGGGUGCAAGCGUUGUCCGGAAUUAUUGGGCGUAAAGAGCUCGUAGGCGGUUCGUCGCGUCGGCUGUGAAAACCUGAGGCUCAACCUCAGGCCUGCAGUCGAUACGGGCGGACUUGAGUACUGCAGGGGAGACUGGAAUUCCUGGUGUAGCGGUGAAAUGCGCAGAUAUCAGGAGGAACACCGGUGGCGAAGGCGGGUCUCCGGGCAGUAUCUGACGCUGAGGCACGAAGGCCAGGAGGAGACGGAACGGU
rnacentral:rRNA from 1 species